GGCGGCGGCUGCAACACGCUGGGGGCGGCCCCGGUCUCCGCCCCGCUCGGCGCGCCGCCUCGGCUCUUCGCGUAGUAAUUUCAGUUCCUGAUCGCGUCGCGCUGACUCCGGGACCCGGGCGAACGAGACCGCAGCUCGCGGGCCCGUAGUCCUCGGUGUGGCGCGGAGAGCACGGGAUAUGCGACGGGCACCCCAGCCUGAGCCUCGGGGACAGCAGGGCCGCAGCAGGUAGGCGACCCCCUCUGGCGGCGAGCCUGGGGGCCCGAGCCUCGCCGGGUGUCCGUACGGGUGGGAGGGGCUCGGUCCCACGUUCUGCUGGGGAUCCUGUGCCUGUUGCUCUGUCCCCAUCCCGUCCUAGGCUGCAGGAGGGGCAUCUGCUCGCAGGUGAUGAAUUUCUCUGCAAGGUCAUCACUUCCUUAAGCUCUGCCUAUGAAGAAAGGUUUCCUUGGUGUGGAAAUUCAACAUGGCUGAAUAGAGAAGGAGUCACAUUGGAGCUACUCAGAGAAAAUCAACUAAAAACACAGGUA
rnacentral:lncRNA from 1 species